UACGUAGGCAGCGAGCGUUGUUCGGAGUUACUGGGCGUAAAGGGUGUGUAGGCGGUUGUUUAAGUUUGGUGUGAAAUCUCCCGGCUCAACUGGGAGGGUGCGCCGAAUACUGAAUGACUUGGAGUGCGGGAGAGGUGAGUGGAAUUCCUGGUGUAGCGGUGAAAUGCGUAGAUAUCAGGAGGAACACCGGUGGUGUAGACGGCUCACUGGACCGUAACUGACGCUGAGGUGCGAAAGCGUGGGAGCAAACAGG
rnacentral:rRNA from 1 species